GAAAACAUUCAACAAUGGCUUCAAUAGCUCUUUUCUUCCUACACCUUCUCUUUCUAUUGUCUAUUUUCCAACCCUCAUUUGCAACUAGACGACUCACUGAGUUAGUCCAGAACUCGUCUCCCCUUUUGCAAUACCACAACGGAGCCCUCCUCACCGGCGACAUCUCCGUCAACCUCAUUUGGUACGGCAACUUCAAGCCCUCCCAGAAAGCCAUCAUCACCGAUUUCAUCACCUCCCUCUCCUCCGCCUCACUCAAAUCCCAGAUCCAACCUUCCGUCGCCACAUGGUGGAAGAUUACAGACAAAUACUUCUCAAAAACAAAAAAACCUUCCCUCCGACUCGGUAAACAAGUAUCCGACCCGGAUUACUCACUCGGGAAAUC
rnacentral:lncRNA from 1 species